CACCGCGGUUAUACGAGGGACCCAAGUUGAUAAGUAUGGCGUAAAGGGUGGUUAAGAAGAGUAAUAAUAAAGUCAAAGGGCCUCCUGGCUGUCAUACGCUUCCGAGCAUCCGAAACCCAAUAAACGAAAGUAGCUUUAAUAUAACCCACCUGACCCCACGAAAGCUGAGAAA
rnacentral:rRNA from 4 species